rnacentral:rRNA from 1 species
GGUCCAGACACCUACGGGUGGCAGCAGUCGAGAAUCAUUCACAAUGGAGGCAACUCUGAUGGUGCAACGCCGCGUGGAGGAUGACGGUCCUAGGAUUGUAAACUCCUGUCAUUGGGGAGUAAGACUUAAGCGUUAAGAGCGUUUAAGUUUGAUAGUACCCAAAGAGGAAGGGACGGCUAACUUCGUGCCAGCAGCCGCGGUAAUACGAAGGUCCCAAGCGUUGUUCGGAAUCACUGGGCGUAAAGCGUGUGUAGGCUGCGCGGAAAGUCAAAUGUGAAAGCCCGGGGCUCAACCUCGGAACUGCAUUCGAUACUCCCGUGCUAGAGUAAUGGAGAGGUAAGUGGAAUUCCUGGUGUAGCAGUGAAAUGCGUGGAUAUCAGGAGGAACAUCAAUGGCGAAGGCAACUUACUGGACAUUUACUGACGCUCAGACACGAAGGCUAGGGUAGCGAAAGGGAUUAGAUACCCCUGUAGUCCUAGCAGUAAACGGUGUUCGCUUGGUGUGGGAGGAUUCGACCCCUUCUGUGCCGGAGCUAACGCGUUAAGCGAGCCGCCUGGGAAGUACGGUCGCAAGACUAAAACUCAAAGAAAUUGACGGGGACCCGCACAAGCGGUGGAGUAUGUGGCUUAAUUCGAUGCAACGCGAAGAACCUUACCUAGGCUUGACAUGCUUGUCGUACUCUCCCGAAAAGGAGAGGUCACUUCGGGUGGACAAUGCACAGGUGCUGCAUGGCCGUCGUCAGCUCGUGUCGUGAGAUGUUUGGUUAAGUCCAGCAACGAGCGCAACCCCUGUGAACUGUUGCCAGCGCGUAAAGGCGGGGACUCUGUUCAGACUGCCCAGAUCAACUGGGAGGAAGGUGGGGACGACGUCAGGUCAGUAUGGCCCUUACGCCUAGGGCUGCACACGUACUACAAUGCCCAGCACAAUGAGAACCGAGACCGCAAGGUGGAGGAAAUCUGCAAAACUGGGCCCAGUUCGGAUUGGAGGCUGCAACUCGCCUCCAUGAAGUCGGAAUCGCUAGUAAUGCCGUAUCAGCUACGACGGCGUGAAUACGUUCC